ensembl:lncRNA novel transcript, antisense to SSPN
CCAGACUCAGCCUCCUCAGACAAAAAAUCCCACUCUGUUCCCAGGCCGGAGAGCCUCCUGGGCUGGAAUUGCUCAAGCCUCAGCUCACAGAUGAGUCACUGUAUUCAUUUGCUCCACAGAAGAAAGAAUCUUCAGGCCUCUGCUCUUGUGAGAGUAAUUUCUCUUAACACCGACAGUGCAGCCUACUCCAUGUGCUACUUUCUCUCGCAACUUUGAGCAAGAAUGUUAGAUCUUUUGCUGGGGGCCUUCGGAAGCCGUGAGGGAGCAUAUCCUGACACCCACAUAGAAGACCUGGUACCUAUGUUUCCACAUCACAAAGCAGGCCAACAAGCACACAAGGCCGCAGACCAAAUUAAGAAUCAUCUGGAUGAGUAAGAACAGUUUGAAAGUGCCAGUGACGCUGGUACAGUCCGUCACAUCCCGGUAAACAAAGGUCCUGCUGAGCGGCUCCGAGGAGGGCAGUUUGCACUGGCAAGAGUCGAG